UUGACAAGCAAGUGACCCUCAUUUUAAUUAGAUAGAGACCACUUGGUUCACAUUAAGCAUAUUUCCAUCUGCUUUAAUAUAUUUUUUGACUGUCAUUCAACAAUUAUCUCUUAAUAGGUUGACAGGUGAAGGCACAUAUGAGACAACAUCUUCAUCGAAGGUGGUAUAUGCACAGAAAGUGGCCCUGAUCGUUUCAGAGCUAAAGCAAUAUGUUAUCGCUGCCGACCCUCAGAUAAUUGAGUUUCUUUGACCGGAAUUCUGCCAGGCUUUGUUAAAGAUGAGGAUGAAGAGGUUCCUGAUGCUCAACUUCCUGGAGUGAAUGCACUAGCUUCGAAUGGAGCUGCUGAUGAGAACUCCAAUGUUGCGCCCCACCAUCCAUGUCUGCUGAUCCAGCUGCCGAAGGUGAACCAUCAACCAAACAGCAACUUGAUCCGAGCCAGAGUGGAUCCAAGAAUGCACGCUUGGCAUAAGUUCACGUAGAUACCUUUGAUAACCAUUGAAUACUUAUCACGUGGAUACCCUUAACAAAAGUAUUAAUGCUUUAGCAUCUUUUUCUACUUUUGUUUUCAACUCACUGUAGUGAUCAGUGUUUGAAUUAUUAAUGCAAGUUUAUUUUAUACAGGCAA